AUUGAACGCUGGCGGCAGGCCUAACACAUGCAAGUCGAACGAGCGGCGGACGGGUGAGUAACAUAUGGGGACUGCCCGUUAGAGGGGGGUAACUCCUGGAAACGAGGGCUAAUACCCCGUAGUGCCGGAUAACCCACAUGGGAUUAGCUAGUGGGUAAGGUAAUGGCUUACCUAGGCGACGAUCUCUAGCUGGUCUGAGAGGAUGAUCAGCCACACGGGGACUUGGACACGGCCCAGAGUCCUACGGAGGGAGCAGAGGGGAAUAUUGGACAAUGGGCGCAAGUCUGAUGCAGCCAUGCCGCGGGUAUGGAGAAGGCCCUAGGGUUGUAAAGUACUUUCAGUCGGUAGGCGUUACCGACAGAAGAAGCACCGGCUAACUCCGUGCCAGCAGCCGCGGUAAUUC
rnacentral:rRNA from 1 species